AGCUCCAAUAGCGUAUAUUAAAGUUGUUGCAGUUAAAAAGCUCGUAGUUGGAUUUGUGGCUGUCGCGUGCGGCCCAACACUUAGUGUCGGUGUCUGCGUGCGUCGCCAUCCUUGGGUGGAACCAGUGUGGCAUUAGGUUGUCGUGCUGGGGAUGCCCAUCGUUUACUGUGAAAAAAUUAGAGUGUUCAAAGCAGGCUUAUGCCGUUGAAUAUAUUAGCAUGGAAUAAUAAGAUAGGACCAUGGUACUAUUUUGUUGGUUUGCGCACCAAGGUAAUGAUUAACAGGGACAGUUGGGGGUAUUCGUAUUCCAUUGUCAGAGGUGAAAUUCUUGGAUUUUUGGAAGACGAACUACUGCGAAAGCAUUUACCAAGGAUGUUUUCA
rnacentral:rRNA from 1 species